rnacentral:tRNA from 1 species
GCUGAAGAAGCUCAUCUGGGAGAGCGUUAGACUGAAGAUCUAAAGGUCCCUGCUUCAGCCCCGGGCUCCAGCA